CGGCUGAAGGACGGGGAGGAGACCACAGUGGAGGAGAUCAAAGCUUUCUGCAAAGGGAAGAUCUCUCACUUCAAGAUUCCGAGGUACAUCGUGUUCGUCACAAACUACCCCCUCACCAUUUCAGGAAAGAUCCAGAAAUUCAAACUUCGAGAGCAGAUGGAACGACAUCUAAAUCUGUGAAUAAAGCGGGAGGAAGGGUCCGCCCAGGCCCUCCUCCUG